UUUUUGAAAAUAAUUUAAAGUUUAAUUUGCCCACUGAUNAAAUUAUUAAAGGGCUGCAGUAUUUUGACUGUACAAAGGUAGCAUAAUCAUUAGUCUCUUAAUUGGUGACUUGUAUGAAAGAUUGGAUGAAAUAUAUACUGUCUCUAUUUAAUUUAUAAAAUUUAAUUUUUUAGUAAAAAAGCUAAAAUGAAUUUAAAAGACGAGAAGACCCUAUAGAGUUUGAUAAUUUAUUUAAUUAUUAUUAAUAUAUAAAUUUUAAAAUUAAAAUUAAAUAAAUUAUUUUGUUGGGGUGAUAGAAAAAUUAAAUUAACUUUUUUUUUAUUUUAUACAUUAAUUUAUGAAUGAAUGAUCCAUUAAUAAUGAUUAAAAGAAAAAAUUACCUUAGGGAUAACAGCGUAAUUUUUUUUUUUAGUUCAAAUAGGAAAAAAAGUUUGCGACCUCGAUGUUGGAUUAAGAUAAAAUUUAAAUGCAAAAGUUUAAAAUUUUGAUCUGUUCGAUCAUUAAAAUCUUA
rnacentral:rRNA from 1 species